GAUGAACGCUGGCGGCGUGCCUAAUACAUGCAAGUCGAGCGAACAGAUGAGGAGCUUGCUCCUCUGACGUUAGCGGCGGACGGGUGAGUAACACGUGGAUAACCUACCUAUAAGACUGGGAUAACUUCGGGAAACCGGAGCUAAUGCCGGAUAAUAUAUUGAACCGCAUGGUUCAAUAGUGAAAGACGGUUUUGCUGUCACUUAUAGAUGGAUCCGCGCCGCAUUAGCUAGUUGGUAAGGUAACGGCUUACCAAGGCAACGAUGCGUAGCCGACCUGAGAGGGUGAUCGGCCACACUGGAACUGAGACACGGUCCAGACUCCUACGGGAGGCAGCAGUAGGGAAUCUUCCGCAAUGGGCGAAAGCUUGACGGAGCAACGCCGCGUGAGUGAUGAAGGUCUUCGGAUCGUAAAACUCUGUUAUUAGGGAAGAACAAAUGUGUAAGUAACUAUGCACGUCUUGACGGUACCUAAUCAGAAAGCCACGGCUAACUACGUG
rnacentral:rRNA from 1 species